GGGUUGUCAUGCCAAUGGCACUGCCCGGUAGCUAAAUGCGGAAGAGAUAAGUGCUGAAAGCAUCUAAGCACGAAACUUGCCCCGAGAUGAGUUCUCCCUGAGACUAUAAGUCUCCUGAAGGAACGUUAAAGACGAUGACGUUGAUAGGCCGGGUGUGUAAGCGCAGCGAUGCGUUGAGCUAACCGGUACUAAUGAACCGUGAGGCUUAACCUUACAACGCCGAAG
rnacentral:rRNA from 3 species